GUUUGUGUGGACAAACUUAGCCAAUAAAGCUGAUUCUGAUUCUAAGGGGAAACACAACACCUGUGUUCGUAUUUCAGAUAUGUGGACCGAUAGCAACACUGAUAUCUAGCGACAUGCAUAUAGCGCAGUAUAUAUAGCAGUAUAUAUGGGUAUAUAUUGUGCCAAGUUGGUUGGUUGCAUACUUUAAAUGUACUCAUAAAAAGGUUCUUGAUCAAACCACUGUUUGCUGUCUGACAUGAGGAAGAUAGAGGGCUUUUUCCAACAGCAAUACCAGGAGAGACUGACAGAAGUGCAGGAGCAUGCACUGAAGCUAAUUCAAGAGGUGGACACUUGGAAGAGCACAUAUCUAAUGCUUUAGUAGGCCUAUGCACUGACAGUAGCCCUCUCUCAUCUGAACAGUAUGAAAUCAUUGCACAAUGUCUAAAAGUGCUGCCCCCAUUUAAUGAUGCCACAGUUGAGUUGUCAGAGGAAAAGAGAGUGUCAGGAUCAAAAGUCAUUCUCCUAUUAUCAAUGCUGUUUUGGUAGGGACCGAAAAAUGCUUCUCACAGCUUGUAAACAUGCUGUUGCUUUACGGCUCCCCCCGCUUCAUUUGUGCUCUGUGAAAGUGUUAUUUAAAGAAGGCAAAAUCUUCUCAAAAAAGAGAAACCGCCGGAAACCCAGCAUAGUGGAAAAGGUAUUUUAAAAUAAAAAUAAAUAAAAUGUC